GAUGAAGAACGUAGUGAAAUGCGAUAAGUAAUGUGAAUUGCAGAAUUCAGUGAAUCAUCGAAUCUUUGAACGCACAUUGCGCCCGCUAGUAUUCUGGCGGGCAUGCCUGUUCGAGCGUCAUUACAACCCUCAGGCCCCCGGGCCUGGCGUUGGGGAUCGGCGGAGCCCCCCGUGGGCACACGCCGUCCCCCAAAUGCAGUGGCGGUCCCGCCGCAGCUUCCAUCGCGUAGUAGCUAACACCUCGCGACUGGAGAGCGGCGCGGCCACGCCGUAAAACACCCAACUCUUCUGAAGUUGACCUCGAAUCAGGUAGGAAUACCCGCUGAACUUAAGCAUAUCAAUAAGCGGAGA
rnacentral:misc_RNA from 1 species